rnacentral:rRNA from 1 species
CCUACGGGUGGCUGCAGUGAGGAAUAUUGGUCAAUGGGCGCGAGCCUGAACCAGCCAAGCAGCGUGAAGGAUGAAUGCCCUACGGGUUGUAAACUUCUUUUAUAAAGGAAUAAAGUGAGGCACGUGUGCCUUUUUGUAUGUACUUUAUGAAUAAGGAUCGGCUAACUCCGUGCCAGCAGCCGCGGUAAUACGGAGGAUCCGAGCGUUAUCCGGAUUUAUUGGGUUUAAGGGGAGCGUAGAUGGGUUGUUAAGUCAGUUGUGAAAGUUUGCGGCUCAACCGUAAAAUUGCAAUUGAUACUGGCAGUCUAGAGUACUGUUGAGGUAGGCAGAAUUCGUGGUGUAGCGGUGAAAUGCUUAGAGAUCACGAAGAACUCCGAUUGCGAAGGCAGCUUACUAAACAAACACUGACGUUGAUGCGCGAAAGUGUGGGUAUCAAACAGGAUUAGAUACCCGGGUAGUC